rnacentral:rRNA from 1 species
AUCACGUNGCUCACAUCAAACGUCCUUGUAUGGAUUGNGAUGUAUGUGGGCGUAGANUGGUCUCCUGUGCCCAUGGUGCGGUUGGCCCAAAAAUGAGCCCGCUUAAGAGUGACACACGACUGGUGGUGGUUGAUUCGACGGUCGUCUCGUGUCGUGUGUAGUGAUUCUUGAAAGGAAAGCUCUUAAAGUACCCCGAUGUCCGCCUUUUGGUGGCUNUUCGAUC